rnacentral:lncRNA from 1 species
GCAUUGAAAGUUCGCUAGGCCGGACAGAUCGUCGUGUUUGAGUUACGGUCUCGUCACAAUUAUGCUGGAUGUGUAGGAUUAUAUUAAAAGGGAUUGACAAGAAGGAGUUGGUAGAUGUAUCACAAGUAUUCAUUGUUAAGAAGCUUUCUAUAUUUGUUACUUUCAGAUUAGUUCCACAUUCUCUUUGUUAUUUGCCUGAUUUCGUAAUUUGGGAGGGCAUCAACAAUGUUUGUCAUUAUGAAGGUGGCCAAUAGUGUAAAAGCUUGAAAUAGGUUCCGCAGUGCAAUAGACAAAUCUUAGAUGCCUGGAGAUUCAUAUUUUGACAAAAUGUUAACAUUGCCCCUAUUUUCAUGUUUGUCUCUAUUGGAUAGUCAUGAAUCUAAUAGCAUUAGAGUCAAAUAAGCUACGGGUUUGAGGCCCAGAAUUGACUAGCUAGAUUUUUUUCUAUGGAAAAUUGAGGUGCGCCGCGCCAAAUAAAAUCUCAAAUGCGUGGCCCUUAUUUAAUUAUUUCUUUUAAUAUUCUUAAAAUUAGAGGCGGGCCAUUUAGAAAAUUUUUCGUGGCCCUCACAAAGUUAAAAAUGCGUAGUUGCUUCAGGUGUGUUUUUUUAAUAAUAUUACCU